GACGAACGCUGGCGGCGUGGAUUAGGCAUGCAAGUCGGACGGUAGGGCUUUAUCGUAAGAUAGAGUUUGAGAGUGGCGAACGGGUGAGUAACACGUAGGAAUCUACCCUUAAGACGGGGACAACCCAGGGAAACUUGGGCUAAUACCGGAUGAGAGUGCGAGAGAUUGCAUUUAAAAGGAUGGCGAAAGUUGUCGCUUAGGGAUGAGCCUGCGGUCUAUUAGUUAGUUGGUGAGGUAAGAGCUCACCAAGGCGAUGAUAGAUAGGCGGCCUUAACGGGUGGUCGCCCACACUGGGAUUGAGAUACGGCCCAGACUCCUACGGGAGGCAGCAGUCGAGAAUAGUCUACAAUGGCCGGAAGGCUGAUAGUGCGACGCCGCGUGAACGAGGGAGCCCUUCGGGUGUAAAGUUCUUUUCUAUACGAGCAGUGCUAUAUAUAGUAGUAGUAGUAUAUAGUAGGAGGAUAGUAGUAAGUAAGUAAAUAACGACGAACGGACUAACCGUCGUCGCGACGACGCC
rnacentral:rRNA from 1 species